UACGUAGGUGGCAAGCGUUAUCCGGAUUUACUGGGUGUAAAGGGAGCGUAGACGGCCAUGCAAGCCUGGAGUGAAAGCCCGGGGCCCAACCCCGGGACUGCUCUGGGAACUGUGCGGCUGGAGUGCGGGAGGGGCAGGCGGAAUUCCUGGUGUAGCGGUGAAAUGCGUAGAUAUCAGGAGGAACACCGGUGGCGAAGGCGGCCUGCUGGACUGCAACUGACGUUGAGGCCCGAAAGCGUGGGGAGCAAACAGG
rnacentral:rRNA from 1 species